CCUACGGGAGACAGCAGUCGAGAAUCAUUCACAAUGGGGGAAACCCCGAUGGUGCGACGCCGCGUGGGGGAAUGAAGGUCUUCGGAUUGUAAACCCCUGUCAUGUGGGAGCAAAUUAAAAAGAUAGUACCACAAGAGGAAGAGACGGCUAACUCUGUGCCAGCAGCCGCGGUAAUACAGAGGUCUCAAGCGUUGUUCGGAAUCACUGGGCGUAAAGCGUGCGGAGGCUGUUUCGUAAGUCGUGUGUGAAAGGCGCGGGCUCAACCCGCGGACGGCACAUGAUACUGCGAGACUAGAGUAAUGGAGGGGGAACCGGAAUGCUCGGUGUAGCAGUGAAAUGCGUAGAUAUCGAGAGGAACACUCGUGGCGAAGGCGGGUUCCUAGACAUUAACUGACGCUGAGGCACGAAGGCCAGGGGAGCGAAAGGGAUUAGAUACCCUAGUAGUC
rnacentral:rRNA from 1 species